rnacentral:lncRNA from 1 species
AUUCUUUUCCCAUAUAGAUUAUCACAGAACACUGGGUAGAGUUCUCUGUGAUAUGCAGCAGGUCGCCAUUGGCCAAUCAUUCCAUAUACCUAAGUGUGCAUAUGCCAAUCCUCAAACCCAGUCCUUUUGCUCCUUCCCCCCUACCUGUCCCUUUUGUUAACCAUAAGUUUUUCAAAGUCUGUGAGUCUGUUUCUAUCUGCAUAUAGGUUUUUAUAUUCCACAUAUAGGUAUAUAAUAGGACAUUUGUCUUCCUCUGACUAACUUCACUUAGUAUGAUAAGUUUCUAGGUCCAUCCAUGUUGCUUAAAAUGGCAUUAUUUCAUUCUUUUUUAUGGCUAAGUAAUAAUCCAUUGUUUAUAUGUACCACAUCUGCUUUAUCCAUUCUUCUGUUGGACAUUUAGUUUGCUUCCAUGUCUUGGCUAUUGUAAAUAGUGCUGCAGUGAACAUUAGGGUGAGUAUACCUUUUUGAAUUAUGGUUUGAUAGAUGCCCAGGAGUGGGAUUGCUGUAUCAUAUCUAGUUAUAUUUUUAGUUUUUUGAGGAACCUCCAUACUGUUUUCCAUAGUGAUUGCACCAAUAUGCCUUCCCACCAACAGUGUAAGAAGGUCUCUUUUUCUCAACACCCUCUCCAGCAUUUAUUGUGUGUAGACUUUUUGAUGAUGGCCAUUCUGGUUGGUGUCAGGUGGUACCUCAUAGUAGUUUUGAUUUACAUUUCUCUGAUAAUUUGUGAUGUUGAGCAUCUUUUCAUGUGUUUUUUUUUUUUUUGGGCCAUCUGUAUGUGUUCUUUGCAGAAAUGUCUGUUUCAAUCUUCUGCCCAUUUUUUGACUUGGUUGUUUGUUUUUUUGAUAUUAAGCUGCAGGAGGUGUUUGUGUAUUUUGGAGAUUAAUCCCUUGUCAGUUGCAUUGUUUGCAAAUAUUUUUCACCUAUUCUGUGGGUUGUCUUUUUGUUUUGUUUACGGUUUCCUUUGCUUUGCAAAAACUUUUAAGUUUAAUUAGAUCCCAUUUAUUUUUGUUUUUUUGUCAUUAUUCUAGGAGGUGGAUCUGAGAAGAUAUUGCUGCAGUUUAUGUCAGAGAGUGUUCGGCCUAUGUUUUCCUCUGAGAGUUUUAUAGUAUCCAGUCUUAUGUUUAAGUCUUUAAUCUAUUUUGAGUUUAUUUUUGUGUAUGGUGUUAGAGAAUGUUCUAAUAUCAUUCUUUUACAUGUAGCUGUCCAGUUUUCCCAGCACCGCUUAUUGAAGAGACGGUCUCUCCUCUGCUGUAUGUUCUUGUCUCCUUUAUCAUAUAUUAGAUGCUUUUUUGGGUGUAUUUCUGGGAUUUAUAUAUUCACUCAGAAUUUAUCCAUGUCUUUAAUUUUACCUUUUUUCCCAUUUUUAAAAAGUUUUAUUGAAGUAUAGUUGAUUUACAAGGUUAUGAUAAUUUCGGCUGUACAACAAAGUGAUUCAGUUAUACAUAUACAAACAUCCACACUUUUUCAGAAUAUUUUCCCACCUAGGUUAUCACAGAAUAUUGGGUAGAGUUCUCUGUGUUAUAUAGUGGGUCCCCACUGACCACCAUUCCAUAUACAAUAGUGCCAGCACUAUUUUUAAUAAAGGUAUAUUGAUUUGAUGUUUCAGCUUUAGGAGACAAGAUGUGAUCUGUAUUUAUAUCAUAUGAACUUUAUUAUAUGAUGUUUUAUAUGAUGUUUAUGUUUUUUUAUAUGAUGUUCAGCUUUAUGAGACAUGAUGUGUCUGUAUUUAUAUCAUAUGAACUGUGAAAGAGCUUUCUUCCUGAAUGCAAGUCUUUACUUUUAAAUGAUGACAUUAUUUCUAAAACCUACCAGCUUACCUGUUUAUAUUGAAAUAGGCACUAUUAGACACUUGUCUUGGAAGUAUAGAUAAAUAUACCCAUUUGCGAUGGUAACUGGUACCAUGUGUCAUGAAUCUAAAACAUGCUUAUCCCUUUUACCUAGUAAAUUAUCAUUUGGAGACCAUGCUAGAGAAAAAAACACUAAAGUAACCCCAAGGCUUCUGUGAACAAAAUUUCCAUUAAUGCAUUGUUCCUUAACAGUGACAAAGAGGCAAUUUCCUACAUGUUCAAAUACAAGGGAAAGAUUAAGUAAAUUAUGGCAUAGUUUCCUCCAUUAUACAUAAUAAUAAACAUGUCUUAAUAAGGAAAUUAAUUUUGAAGGACACAGUAUAGCAACUCCAUCCAUAUUAUUAUUACCUAACUAAAACAUCACAUUUAUGUUUUAAUGUCUUUUCUUCAUUCUGUGGUUUUUCAAGGAGGAUAAAAGAAGGUGAAAGUUUCAGUAUAAGAUAACCUUGGUAAGAAUAUUUUAUAAGCCAUAAAACAGUAAGUACUGAGACAUGUGCAUCUCAGUCUGAUGAUCCAAGCUGGCUCAAUUGCAAAGUCAAAUGUGCAGCAGACAAUGCUAGGUAUUCAUGUGAUGUAUGAAUACCUAAUGGAUUUUUGGGGGAGGCCAAAUAAAAGACACUUUUGGCCUGAUAACUGAUUCUGGUUCUGUAAGGAUCCCUUUCUAAUCCUUACUUUACUUGAGGUAGGUACCAGAUGCAAACUAAUCAUUCACUGAAGAUAAAGCUCAGAAACUGGUUGAGGGUGAGCGGGGCAAUAGGAAGAGGAUGAGGGGCACAUUAUUUCACAGAAAGCAUAAUGCAUCCCAUCCAUUUGGUAUUGUCCCCACUAAGAUUUUUUUUAAAGAACUCUAUGGAGAAGAUGGGGUAUAAAGACAGUUAGCUAAGCACAUGGAGUUUCUAUUCUUUUUGUAAGACAUGACAAGCAAGUGAGCAGGGCAUUAAAACCCAGUCAUUGACUGUUUAUAGGUAGAUCACAGAUUGAAUCACAGAGUGGAGGAAUGACAAGGCUAAUUAAUAGUAAGCAACCUAAUCAGAGAACUAUGGUAGCUAUAAAAUGAAGUCAGUAGAACUAGAAAAGAUGGUCAGAGUGAAAAGUUGACAAUUAGGAUUUCCAGCCACAUAUAAUACGUAACUUUAUCCCUCAGGACCCAGAGGAGAGAGGAUUUUCUCCUCCUUUCACUGUAGGCUUAUGGUUCUCCUGGUAGGAGGAACCUGGGAAAAUGAAUCAUACAAAGUCAUUUCAUCAACUUAAUUCCUUAAAUUUACCCUGGCUAACUGUUACAGAUCCUCGGGACAAUAACCAGGGUGUUCAGAAGGGAAGAUGUCCACUGUAUCUGGUUUUUUUUCUUGUAGAACUUGCCACAGUUUUCAAUUAUAUAGUAAUUUGUCUGUUUAGUGUCUGAAGCCUCCACUGGACUGUAAGCUCGAUGGGAUCAGAUACCUUUUCUGUCUACCAUUGUAUUUUCUCUGGCUAGCAAAAUGGUGGUAUUGAAGGAAAAAGAGAGUCAUAUGUGGUGAAAUGAGACAAUUUUGGCUGCCGAGAGGGAAGGGAAAAGGGAGAGUUUGACAUUCGAGACCAUGCAAACAUCACUCUUGGAAAUGCUUUGUUGCCAAAGGAGUGGAAAGGUCCAGGCAGAAGAAAGACAGAAACCCUAAGCAAUGUGGAAGCCUGAGAAAACUGUCUGAGAAAAAAAUCUACUACCCAACAGAUAAACAAUGGUUAUAGGAAGCUGGCUUAUUUAGAGAGCAAAGAUCAUUUGGAAACAAGAGGAGCGAGAAGCAACCAGGAACCUAUUCUUGAGGAGUCACUUGGAACAUAGUUUUAAGUAAAGAAAAAGCUCUACUGAGCAUAUAUAUUCCACAUCCCAAAGAAUUUAAUAAGUCUCUUAUCCUUUACCAAAAGAGGAAAUGUGUCUGUGUUAAAAUGACCAAAUUUAAAAUUCUGCAGUUGAAGUUGUAUGAGAACUUUUUCCAGAGUUAUAUAUACUCUAAUGAUUAAACAAUCUAUACAAAUAAUGGAUGUAAAGCAGAUUUAUCAGUAUGUGUGUGUAUGUGGAGAGUGAGUGUGGACUAUAAGCAAAUGACAUUGAAAAAUAAUGAUUCUUACUUUGUAUGCUUUUCCUUUUCCUUCAUUCAUGCCUUCACAAGAGUUCUCCAGAGAAAUGGAAUCAGUAGGACUCAAUGGGUGGACCUAUGUUCUAUCCAUUUCUUUACUUAUUGUAAGGAAUGGGCUCUUAUGAUUGUGGAAGAAUGUCAAGAUCUACAAUUGAUGAGCCCAAACCCAGGAGCGCUGAUGGUUAAGUUCCAGUCUGAAAGUAAGAGAAGACCUGUGUCUGAGGUCAGACAGGUAAGUGGAGAGAACUCACUCUUCCUUACUCUAACUGUGCUAUUCAUGUCUUCAGCAGGUUGGAUGAGGCCCACCUGCACUGGGGAGGACAAUCUUCCUAUUCAUUUUCCUGAUUCAAAUGCCAAUCUCACCCUGGAGACAUUCUCCGAGAUACUCACAACAGUGUUCAAGUAGAUAGUUCGGUUUCCUGUGGCUCAGUCAAGUUGACAUAAAAUUAACCACUACAAAACUUUUAUCUAAAGGUACAUAAGGAAGUGAGUAGAAUACACCCAAACCUGCAAUUUUAAAAACAUAAUUUUACAGUCUUGGAAUGAAUAGUCAUACUCUAUUACUAGUGCACCAGAACACACUAAAAUGUCCAUGUUACGUCACUACCAGUUGAGUAAAAUACCAACAUUUCAGCCCACUAACAUUUUAUAUCUGUGCUAUCCACAAGAGGUGAUAUUUAAUGAUUUAGCCAGCCUGCUAUGAAAUGAGAGACGUUCAAAUUUAAAAGCAUGCUAUUGAUUAGAUUUAAUGUUUUUCAGCCUAUUUAGCCAGGUAGGCCACUGUAGUAUAAUUUCAAAUUGUAGAUAUUUGUUUAUUAAUAAACAACAUACCAAAGAGUAGUGAUAUCCUUUACUGGAAAGAAUUGAGGCCUUUUAAAAUUAAUAUUUUCUUAACAAUUAUGUUCAAAUAUAUAUAUUUCCUUUCAAAGCAGCACCUUUGAGGAAAAAUGUAGCCAACUGAAUAAUGCUACUGGUGUUCAGAAGUUCGUAUACCACACAAUGAAAUAUUUCCAGCUAUUUUAAUUAUUUUCUAUGACCUCUGAAUCCAGUAGAAUUGUUCAGUGUGAUUUCUUUCUUGAAUUCUCUUGGUGUUAGUAACUUUUGGCCAUUACUUGAUGUAAAGUUCACCCUGGCUUAUAUUAAAAUAAUGAACCAUGGAUUUGAAGGUAAACCAAGAAGAGUUCUGAGACAAUACUGAGCACUAGGAGCAAGGCUGAAAUGAAUGUGGAGCCACUUAACACCAGCUUGAAGGUAUGUGGGGGAGAAGAAAGGAAACUGGGAUGAGAAUCUGAAAAUGUUAUUUUCAACCACGCUUCAGACUUCCUAGGAGGACAGAUGCUCUUCUUUUCCUUCCUCUCCCUUUUUCCUUCAUUGUUUGACACCUGUGUGGUUGGAGCUGAAUUUAUCUACAUCCAAGAGUGUGUUCCUGAAAGACUCAAAGGCAGAGCUUGCCAAAGUUCUGGCUGAAGAGAUUGAUAAUGAAUCAGAUACUACUUCAUAGUGGUAGUUUUUGGUGGUGGUUUGGUUUGACCAGAUUUAAUGAUAAGUCUAUACUUGGGAGAAAGAUAUGAGGAAACACACUGCCCAGAUCGGGACUGGAAGGUUUUCUAUGUAAGGAUAGAUACAGAUUAAUUCUCAUAGCUGAAAUAAUAAUUCUUAAGAAACAUGACUCAAUGGCCUAAUAAAACUAUUAGGAAUAAAUGCUGACCAUAGGAGCAUGAUAAUAUACAUUUUGCUAGAAUAAAAACAUAAAAGAAUGAACAAUGGAAAGAUAAACCAUCAAAUGAUUUUUUUAGCUCUUCUGUGUAUGAUGAACAUUGGGUUUACACUUGUAUGGUGAUCCUUAAUGAGGGUAGCACAUAGUAGUUGGCUAAUAACAUAAUCUAAUCCGUUCACACCUGAGAAAUGUUAUUUUCACAUAAAUCUCUCAAAGCAACUAAAAUGAACUGGAUCUGUGUAAUGAUCAGAAAAAGAAAAAAAAGCAGAGUUCGGAUUCUAGAUGAAAAAUAAAAAUUGAAACUAUUUUCUCCCAUUCUGUAAGUUGUCUUUUUGUUUUCUUUUUGGUUUCCUUUGCUGUGCAAAAGCUUUUCAGUUUGAUGAGUUCCCAUGGGUUUAUUUUUGCUCUACUUCCUAUUGCUUUGGGAGACUGACCUGAGAAAAUAUUCAUAAUGUUGAUGUCAGAGAGUGUUUUGCCUAUGUUUUCUUCUAGGAGUUUGAUGGUGUCCUGUCGUAUAUUUAAGUCUUUCAGCCAUUUUGAGUUUAUUUUUGUGCAUGGUGUGAGGGUGUGUUCUAGUUUCAUUGCUUUGCAUGCAGCUGUCCAGGUUUCCCAGCAAUGCUUGCUGAAUAGACUUUCUUUUUCCCAUUCUAUGUUGAUGCAACUGACAAGGGCUUAAUCUCUAGAAUAUACAAGCAACUUAUACAACUCAACAGCAAAAAAACCAAUCAAUCAAUGGAAAAAUGGGCAAAAGACCUGAAUAGACAUUUCUCCAAAGAAGAUAUACAGAUGGCCAACAAACACAUGAAAAAAUGCUCAACAUCGCUGAUUAUAAGAGAAAUGCAAAUCAAAACUACCAUGAGAUACCACCUCACACCAGUCAGAAUGGCCAUCAUUCAUAAAUCCACAAAUAACAAGUGCUGGAGGGGCUGUGGAGAAAAGGGAACCCUCCUGCACUGCUGGUGGGAAUGUCAACUGGUACAGCCACUAUGGAGAACAGUUUGGAGAUACCUUAGAAAUCUAUACAUAGAACUUCCAUAUGACCCUGCAAUCCCACUCUUGGGCAUCUAUCCGGACAAAACUCUACUUAAAAGAGACACAUGCACCCGCAUGUUCAUUGCAGCACUAUUCACAAUAGCCAGGGCAUGGAAACAACCCAAAUGUCCAUCGACAGAUGAUUGGAUUUAGAAGAUGGGGUAUAUAUACACAAUGGAAUACUACUCAGCCAUAAAAAAGGAUGACAUAAUGCCAUUUGCAGCAACAUGGAUGGAACUAGAGAAUCUCAUACUGAGUGAAAUAAGCCAGAAAGACAAAGACAAAUACCAUAUGAUAUCACUUAUAACUGGAAUCUAACAUCCAGCACAAAUGAACAUCUCCUCAGAAAAGAAAAUCAUGGACUUGGAGAAGAGACUUGUGGUUGCCUGAUGGGAAGGGGAGGGAGUGGGAGGGAUCGGGAGCUUGGGCUUAUCAGACACAACUUAGAAUAGAUUUACAAGGAGAUCCUGCUGAAUAGCAUUGAGAACUAUGUCUAGAUACUCAUGUUGCAACAGAAGAAAUGGUGGGUAAAAACUGUAAUUGUAAUAUAUACAUGUAAGGAUAACCUGACCCCCUUGCUGUACAGUGGGAAAAUAAU